AAUAUCAAUUAUCAAUAUUGUUCUCCCUGAAGUGAAUCACUCCUAAAAUCAAACAAACAGAAUAUUUUCACUGAAAUAGCUGCAGUGAAAUUUGUUAUCAAGAAAUCGGAAACAUUCGAUCAAGAUUACCCAAAAGAGAUGACCUGACCUAACCCUACUUCACAAACACCGAAAAGUGGAAAAUGGAAUUGGAAAAGGGAACUUUCGUUAGAGAAUUCGAGAUUCCCGCAAUUUCGGAAACUCUAAAUUUCUAUCAGAAAAUUGAGGGAGAUGUCAGCUGUGUUGUUUGGGACGCGUCGAUGGUGUUAUCCAAGUAUUUAGAGAAAAAAUUCCUGGAAGAAGAGGACUUCCUCAAAGACUGCGACGUAGUUGAAUUAGGAGCAGGCUUAGGUUGCGUUGGAAUCACCGCCGCCUGCUUGGGGGCUCGAGUUAUUGCAACCGACUUGCCGGAAUGUAUUCCUCUGUUGGAUUUGAACAUCGAUAAAAACGAGCAUGUAUGGUCUAAAUAUGGACGCAUUAAAUCUGUUCCACUUAAAUGGGGUGGUGAUAAUAAUUUGGAUAUUCCAGACAGAAUACUUUUAGCCGAUUGUGUCUACUAUGAACAGAUAACUGAAAUUUCGUUGAUCGAAUUCUUCGAUGCUGCACGAGAGAUUCCAGUCCACAUCGUGAACAACAGAUUGUUCCUACUAUAAACUGGCCUCUUCCUGCGACAAAUAGGAAGUAAGAUACACUAUCUUUCAAUUCAUUCAACUCAUUCAUCUGGAUUAACGCCCACUCACUUGGUUGGGUUCCUCUUUCAACGUUACCUACAGCAGCUCCCAAUAGAAAGCCUGGGAUUGGUUGGUAGAUGUGAUUUUUCAUGGGAAUUCGAAAGCCUAUAUCUCUUUGAAGAGGUAGUACAACGUUAAACAAUAGAGGUCUACUCAGACGUGUUCAGAUACCGCCCAUGCCAAAAAUACGAUAACUUGCAAUGCAAUCGAAUUCGACAAGCUGGUUGUACACUUAUGCAUAGUACAUUUAAUGAAAGAAGAAUUCAAAAAGCAAUUGGUACAUCAAGCAUGCAGCAUGGGACAGCCUGGAGCCAAUAUCCAUCUGUUUUCGUUUAAAAAUUGCGAUGUAUUUCAUAUAAUUUUCGAAAUAAAUCAAUAAAUUCAGUA